UACGGAGGAUCCAAGCGUUAUCCGGAUUUAUUGGGUUUAAAGGGUGCGUAGGCGGCCUAUUAAGUCAGGGGUGAAAGACGGUAGCUUAACUAUCGCAGUGCCUUUGAUACUGAUGGGCUUGAAUACACUAGAGGUAGGCGGAAUGUGACAAGUAGCGGUGAAAUGCAUGGAUAUGUCACAGAACACCAAUUGCGAAGGCAGCUUACUAUGGUGCAAUUGACGCUGAGGCACGAAAGCGUGGGGAUCAAACAGG
rnacentral:rRNA from 1 species